CACCGAGUUCACCAGGGUUACACAGCCAGGGAGUGACGGGGUCUGGACUUAGAACCAGAGCCUGCGCUCCUAACCACCACCCCACACUAACCCUCUGUCUUCAUCUCCAGGAUGGAUAAGACAGCUUCGGCCAUCCAGGGGCACGGAGCAUCAGAAGAAAACAGAGAAGGAUGUCAGUGUUCACGGUGACCUCGGAGGCCACGUGGUGGAGAUGGUGGAGCCCCUGCCAGCCCCUGCUCUUCACCACUACGCUUUAUCAGCCUGCUUGGACUGUGACACGCUGCAUUAAGCCAUUGAGACUUAGGGGUUGUUACUGCAGUGAGCAGUUAGUCUCUCCUGACGUAUACAGAAUCGUAUAGAACCUCUACCUAGUAGAAACAGCUGCAUACCUUCAUAUCCAUCUGUUAUUUCAUUAAAUCCUUCCCCCUAAUCCUAUCAGCUCGCAGACAGUUGGGAGUGACGUUUGUGCUACCCGAGCCGAUUUCACCCUACCUGGGAAGAAUGGACCACUGCCACUGGCCAGAGCCUUGCUCCCUCCUGCCUUUCCAGGGAGGAUGUGCCUUUGCCCCAAAACCUCCCUCUGAAAAUAAUGUCAAUUCACAACUCAUCUAUAAUAAUCACGGCUAUCAUUUCUGAGGGCUGAAUUCCAGUGACAAGGAGAGGAUCUCUUCUGGGAGGCAUUAAUUACAGAGCACUUUGGAAAAUUGGUCCAGCGAAGGAUGAAAGAGCUCCCCAGAGCCUUGGUCAGGGCUCUGUGAAGUGGGCAUGCCUUGUGGCCCUUCUGGAAAAGGAUCUCCAGGUUAUUUGCACUAGAAGUUACCCUUUGGAGUGUUAAAGCAGUUCAUAUGUGUUAUUCAAAGUCAGAGCCAAGUUCAAGAAGCUUAUUUGACCUCCCUGAACCUCAGCAAUCCACAGCCACUAACCACAGCCAGCCCUGUGCACCCUUCACUGAGAUGACCUUCUUCUGAGGUUUUCUAACCCAAGUGGAACAAUGGAAGCUUAGAGGCAGUCCUGGGGUGUCCUCAGCUUAGGACUGCUGUACAGAUGUGGCCACGGCAAGCAUUACCAUCCCAUUUCUUCCAAAUAACCAUCUCCAGGGAAACACUUAGAAAUGACAAGGACACUCAAGGCAUCUGUCAGGGCUGUUUUUGCUCUCAUCUCCCUGAGAAUGGCAAUGACCUCAACUCACAACGAUCUCACCCACUCUGCACGUCUCUAACACAUUUGGUCUUGACCCUGCAAUUGGGCUCAAGUGUGGACCGCCCAGCUCCUGGUCUGUUUGGGGGCAGACAGGUGGGGAGUUGCUGGAGGGCAGGGUGUAUAACGUCUCCACGGCCGGCUCAGCGCCUAGCUCACUGAUGCCAGGUUGGCCGUGUUCAGUAGAAGUUUAUUUCGAUGCUACACUGUAUUGACAUUCUGGGCUCUUCCUCUGCCCACUGAGCCCAGCCUGUGACCCAUGGAGAGCGGGAACCAGAGACUCUUCAUCCUUCUAUCUCCGGUGUCUAGCAGCAGGGUCCUAAUCCCAAAAUGACUUUCAGCCUUCACAGUGAGCGAAUGAAUGUGUCGGCCCUCGAAUGAAGCUGCCCUAGGGGCAUUUUGAAGGUGGCGGUCCCUGCUGCAGAAUGCCCUUCCUCUCCCUUCCGCCGGAGAAGAAGCAUUUGGGGUCACUGUGUGCUUCUGGAUGCCCAGCAGGAAAAUAAAAAUGAAACAUUAUAGCGAGGUGUUUCCAAGCAAGGAGGCUGGUGGAUCUGAGUUCGAAUCCCAGUCCUGCCACCUACGGGCAGACGGUAUUGGACAUGUUCCCGAAUCUUCUGGUGCCUUAGUUUCCUUGUAAGGAAGAUACAAAUAAUGGUCACGGUCUCACCACGCUGGUGGGGUGUUUGGCUAACGUCAGUAGAGUGUUUAGCAUGGUGUUUGGGACAAAAUAAACCUCCAAUAACUAUUAGCUGCUGUGAUUACUACUGCUAUCAAUGAAGAGCUUUAGAACACAGGAGUGAGGUCUCCAAGGAUGGUCAGUUGACAGGUUUAUACUGAAUGCCCACCGGGAGCCAAGCAUUGUCUUGGGCCCUGGGGAUGCGGUGGUGACAAAGACUGGUUCUGUCCCAGAGAAUCUGUUGCACAUUAAUCAAAUACAGUUUCCUGCUGGCUGGAAUCUUGCUUAUUUUGGAGACCCUGACCCGUGUCCUGCAGGAAGAUACCUAACACCGAUGGAGGUGUUUGAUGAACAAAAGGAACGACAGUGACCUUGGAGUGUGGACUGCUUCUGAAGGGGCCCGAGGUGGUGUGUGGGGUGUAUUUUCCCCUUGACUGUAGUCUCUGAAUCGUGCUGGACAAUCAUUAACCAUCUUUAAAUCAACCAGGGCCUGUAGCCAUGUAGAAAUGCCCAUGUCAGAAGGCUCUAGAUCAAAAAUCAUGGGCUGUAAUUCAGAUGGUCUGCUGCUAGGACACUAGAUUGGGAUUCAUGUUUGAAACUACUGUUUGUUUUCCCUGUUUGUGGCUUCUUGGUAUGUUUGACACUAUCAGAUUGAUCGUGACAAAAGUCCUCUGGUUACUACCCACUGCGCGGGAGGAUGACUGUCUCUUUCUCUGGGAUGCCUUGGAACCUUCCCGAGUGAAGUUGCGUGGGCUAGAUAGUCACUAUCUUCUCUGACCAUCUGCGCUCUCCUUUCCCCAUCUGAUCACCCUGCCUUCCUGCUUGUGUCUCAUGACAUUUUGUGCAAGUUUGGUAUCGUCCUCAGCAUGGUACCUACCCGUGAACCUCGCAUAAUUGGGGUCCCUCACGUAAUAUGUGUACCUUGCAUAAUUGCUCUAACCACCUACCUUAUUUAAUUGGAAACCAGGAACCUUUGAGCUAUCUAAUGACAUCAUCUGGCUUUUGUUAAUUUCUGCCUAUUUGCUUAGUUGCCAAUUUCUCAACUUGUCCUGAACCUUGAUGAGGGAAGGAAAUGCUGAGCAGGCGGCUACCAAUAGAGUUUGUUCAAGCAAUAAAUGAAAUAUUAAAUGAAAAGAAAUGAAACCAGUAAUAAAGGAAACCCACAAACAUAUUAAGCCGUGGUACCAAAGGCCAUCUCUACGGAGUCCCAACACUUUCCUUUACUAUGAAGAUGGAAAAGUCUCCUGGACUCCAAAUUGGCACUGAGUAGUGUGUAGGAGGAACCAGCAGGCAGAAGGUUCGGGGAGGCCCUAGUGUAGUGAGUGGCUAAGAAAACAGGCCUUGAGACAGGCAGCUGGCUAGCCACACGAUCUGGGGUGAGUCAUUUGGUUUGUGGGGCCUCCGUUUAUUCAUCUAUAAAAAAGGAGCCAAAAUUAGCCCCCAUAUCAUAGGGUGGUGCUGGGCUUAAAUGAGGUCAUUCGUGUGAGGCACUUAACACAGUGCCUGGCUCAUCAAGAAUGCUCAGUAACGGAAGGAUGAGUGCUUUUCUAAUAAUUGGAACCAGUUAAAGAUGGCCUGAGCUUCCUUGGGAAUGGGCGAGGGAGUCUCCUGCCACUGGAAGUCCUUUAGAGAAGGCGACAGGCUCUCAGAGUUUCUGGUGCAACAAUCGGCCAGGGAGAAUGUUAAAGUUCGAUUCUGAUUUAAAUACGUCGUGGGUGCGGCCUGAGAUUCUGCAUUUCUAAGAAGCCCCGGGAAAUGCUGAUGUUGCCAAUGACCACACUUGGGUAGCGGGGAGCUAGUUAGUUCCUUGGGGAGCUGCUGCAGAAGGUAUGUGAUGAUCCAGAUGGAGCAAUGAGCUGGACCCCUGCUGUCCUAGGUGGUGGCCCCUGGCCACAUGCCUCGAGCAUUUGAAAUGUGGCUUAGUCCAAACUCAGAUGUACUAUGAGUGCAAAAUACACAAAAACUUAGUAUAUAAGAAAAGAAUGUAAAAGAUCUCAAUAAUUCUUAUUACAUGCUGAGGUGAUAAUAUUUUGGAUAUAUGAGCUUAAGUAAUCUAUUAAAUUAAUUUCACCUGUUUC